UACACCACAUACACACACAAUGCAUAGACAUCACAUACACACACAAACAUAUACACACAACACAUACACACAUACAACACACACAAAGCUGCAGUUUUACUUCCAGUAAUUGAGAAUUGCAUUGAAGAAAUGGGAAUGCUUGUCUGCCAUUAGGUGGCUUUCUAAGUAUAUGAUGGAAUUCAGGCCAGGUCACCUUACUAAUAGACCCCCAGAUGCAUAAUAAUUUGAACACACUGGAAGUUUAAUUUUACUCACUAAAUGAUCAGAGACAGGGCUUCCUGUUGGGAAAGAAGAGGUAAGUGGCGAGGGGAAUCUCAGGUAGAAUGUUUGCUUCACCUUGCAUUUGGGGUCCUUGGCCUUUGGCUUGAGUUCUCCAAUCAGCUAAAAGAGAAAAGGCCUCUAGGGCCUGCAAAUAUCACACACAGAAGCUCAUUUCAUUGGCUAGAACUUGGUUGUGCUGUGUUCUUAGCUGCAAAGGAGAGUGGGAAGGACAAUUUAGCUGUAUACCUCAGAUGAAGAGAAAACAGAGCUCAUCUUUGCCAUAAUCUAGUGGGCACACAGGAUUGGUUAAAAGGGGAAGGCAUGGUUAUAUUCCCUCCCCCCUUAGAAGACAGGUAGAAAGUUAAGCUAUCUCCGAGGAAACAAGAGGAACAAAAUGAAUAUUAGAACCUUUGCAGAGGGAACAUGAGUUUUUUAAUUCUAAUCUCUCCUCCAAUAGCCAUCAUCAGAUAUACAGCCAGCCCUCUUCUGUCUAGAAGGUUCUGGAUGCUAGGGAAUUCAUGUUCUAAAAAUGUAUUACAAAGAAACAGCUAAACCUGAACUCUAACUGAACAGUGAUAGUCUACAUCCUGUCCUGUGAUGUUCUGGACCAUAACUCUGACCCACAGGUGCUUCUGUGGAUGGGAGGCAGCUAACAUGAGAGGCCGGGUCUGCUCUUCUUGGUUGCAUAUGCACAAUCCUUUCAGCUCUGUGUGGACUCAUUGGUUUUAACCUGGGGUGCCGUCACUGUCCUGAGCAGUGCCUCCCGCCUCUAAUUCCAUCACAACCUUUGAUGGGAACAAAACCCAUCCUGUAACUCAGCCUAUACUUGUGUUAGAUUAUUUUGGUUCCACAUGACAUUCCUACAAACAAUGUUGUCAAAGACUGGAAACAGCAUUGGUGAGAACAAGAAACUAUUUCAGAUUGCUUGGCGAAGGGCAAGCUGAGUGGCUGAGUUGCUGUGUUAAUGGAUACUGAUACUGUCUUUAAUCCUGAGGCCGUGGAAGAGGUUGUUCAUUUAGUUGCAGCACAGGCUUGUCUUGAGUCAAGUAGAAUAUACCUGCCUCAGUCACUGUAUCUACACUAUUGAAGCUUCUUUCAGGUUAAAGAUAGAAUUAAAAUGUCAAUGCCAAGUUUUCAUGGGGUCUGAGGAUGCAGAGUCUGGGGGUGGUGAGAUCUGGAAGCAGCUAAAGCAACAGCUGGAGACAGAGGCAGGCCUAGGAGAGUCUGAUGCAUAGCUUGGCUACAGAGAAAUGGGUAAUAAAGAUGCUGGGGGGUGGGCAGGGGGAGUGAACUUGCUUUCAGGUAAUGAGAAAACAGUACUGAAGAAAAUCCCUGUGAGCCCACUGCAGAGUGACUGGAUGGUUGGGUAAGGAAGAAGUUGGCUGGGAGCUCCUCAUAGGUGCUAGCACAUCUUCUGUGUGGGACAUGCUGUGUUUUGAGCUGUGACAAUCUGCUAUGUUGUAUUUUUACCAAUUAAUAAAAGGAGGGAAAACAGCACAUUGUCUUGGGUUGAAAUCAGCCAAGAAUGCAAUUCCACUGAAGACGUUGACACAGUGAGACAGCGAAAACAACACAGUCCCACGGAAGCCUGUGCAGAGUGGCUAUGACUACUGUAUGGUAGACAUCAUGGUCAGAGGAUGCCCUGUGGUUUUCAGGAAGAGCAAAUUAGAGAUUCAUGAGUUAGAAGGCUUUCCUGUUCAACACUGCGCUUCAGAUCCUGAUUCAAAGUCAAUGCAGAAGAGUAGAUGAAAUCCAUCUGUUUGACUGUAACAAGCAAAAGCUUGGAUGAUUUUUCUUUUCACUCUUUGGAAAUAUGGGUCAUUUUAGGGCUGUGUCUUACUCAGUUUGAGUCUAACUGUAAUACACUUAAGGAAAAAUGAAAACUGUAAAACCAAGCAGCUCCUGAGAACCUACUGGAUGUGUCAGUGUCCACAUGCAAGAGUGAUUCCUGUGAGUGGACUCGGUGGUGCUCAGCCUUCAGGGGACAAACAUAUAUCCAGUGUGCACAGCACUCGGUUUCAUAAAGACCUCCGUGAGCUUUUCGACAAUUAGGUAGCAUCAUGUUGUGUCCUGAAAUCAUACAUGAAUCCUGUGAAGCCUACAAGGACAGGGUCCUAAAGAAGGAACAUGCGAACUGAAAUGAACGGACAAACAAAACAAAACAGCCCAAAAUGUUCAAGUGAAAGAGAAGAAUUUAAGCAUGCAACAUAGAGAGGGGCUAAGACUUAGCACAGAGUUUGUUAAUGGAAGGAAACGUCAAUUGAUGACAUCAUGAAGCAGCCGGUGAAAACUGCCCCUGCAGUUCACAAAUGGAAAGAGACGUCUGUCUCAUAACCAACAUCACCUUCCAUUCAGCUCUAACCACAAUUCUCCCUUCUAGUGCUGGCUUCAAACACUAGAAAUGACUAAACAUUUUUUUGUGCCAACUUGAAUGCGUAAAUUACAUCAUAUCUCACUGUG